rnacentral:lncRNA from 1 species
ACCUAGGAUUCCAAUUUAAAUUAGGAUCCACCAAAAUAAAUCCUUAUGAGAUCCUUUUUAUUUUUUCAUAAACUCGAUAUAUGAACCAAACUAAUAAAAAAGAAGGCAUAUCUUUAACAUCUUAUUCAUUCUUCUCCAAAAAGGUAUUUUGGCUUAUUGUUUUCUCUCAAAGAAUCACAACAUUAAACCUGAGAGAAAAAAAUGUGAGGAUU